rnacentral:ribozyme from 1 species
CUGGAAAAGAAAAACACUGAAGAGAAUGAAAAGAAUCUGUGUCGUCUCACCAACAGAACGGACAAGAGUGAGAGACAUUUAGCAGUGACAUUCUUUUGAUGUUCGUUUUUCUCUUUUUCUUCUUCUUGUUGUUUUGUCCUC